CAGACAUGCUGUGCUAUAAUUCUGACUUCUACAACGGUGCCCUAGUAAGUGGUUACUGUUCCAAAGUGGCUUAGUUUGUGGUAAUUUAUUAUAUAACAAUGAAAAAAACACUAUCUGGGAAAAUUUCCUUUUAAUCUCACUCUCCCUCUCAUUUCCCUUUGCCAGCAGGCAAACUGCCCGAUUAUGCUUGGCACAGCAUCCUGGAAUUCGGGUAUGUCCUUGGAAAAAUAUGUAAGACAACCCUACAGAAGUAAGGUGAGAAACUUGACACGGACGGGGCUGGGAAGCCAAAGUGAUCUCUCCACUCUCUGAGACAAGGCAAAACGCAGUAACUCAAGAUCCUCUUGUUGGUAAAGAGGUAAGAGAAGGGUCUGUCACACUGAAUGUUAUGCUGAGCAUCCUCUUCGGCUCCUAUGUUAUAAUUACUAAUCCUUGAUUUACCUUCUUCUAUCAAAGAUU
rnacentral:lncRNA from 1 species